rnacentral:rRNA from 1 species
UACGAAGGGGGCUAGCGUUGCUCGGAAUCACUGGGCGUAAAGCGCACGUAGGCGGACUCUUAAGUCGGUGGUGAAAUCCUGGAGCUCAACUCCAGAACUGCCUUCGAUACUGAGAGUCUCGAGUCCGGGAGAGGUGAGUGGAACCGCGAGUGUAGAGGUGAAAUUCGUAGAUAUUCGCAAGAACACCAGUGGCGAAGGCGGCUCACUGGCCCGGUACUGACGCUGAGGUGCGAAAGCGUGGGGAGCAAACAGG